rnacentral:rRNA from 1 species
AUUGAACGCUGGCGGCAUGCCUUACGCAUGCAAGUCGAACGGUAACAGGUCUUCGGAUGCUGAUGAGUGGCGAACGGGUGAGUAAUACAUCGGAACGUGCCUAGUAGUGGGGGAUAACUACUCGAAAGAGUGGCUAAUACCGCAUGAGAUCUACGGAUGAAAGCAGGGGAUCGCAAGACCUUGUGCUACUAGAGCGGCCGAUGGCAGAUUAGGUAGUUGGUGGGAUAAAAGCUUACCAAGCCGACGAUCUGUAGCUGGUCUGAGAGGACGAUCAGCCACACUGGGACUGAGACACGGCCCAGACUCCUACGGGAGGCAGCAGUGGGGAAUUUUGGACAAUGGGCGCAAGCCUGAUCCAGCAAUGCCGCGUGCAGGAUGAAGGCCUUCGGGUUGUAAACUGCUUUUGUACGGAACGAAAAGCCCUGGGUUAAUACCCUGGGGUCAUGACGGUACCGUAAGAAUAAGCACCGGCUAACUACGUGCCAGCCGCCGCGGUAAGAC